GUCUUCCACCGAGGCUUCAUUUUCAGCGGUGUGAUGGGCAUAUUAAGAAGCUCACCAAACAACCGUGCACGUCGUUCGUUCGAUAGAGUUUGUUUGAAACAUCGCGAUGGCUGCUUACUCCUUUUUUCGGACUACAGUGUUUGCAUCUCUGGGAGUUGGCUGUUGGCUGCUGCCUGCGCAGAUAAUGAAAGCCUAACAACUUGGAACCUGUCUAGAAAUUCACUGCAGGCUGUCCGUGUGACUGUAAAUGUUUUGCUAUCUAGAAACUAAAAACUUCACUCCAACUACGGUUGUUCAUCCAUGUGAAUGUAACUAUCAUCAAUGGGUUAGUGUUAUAAGUUAAUCCCAUAUCUACUAACUUUGAACCUUAGUUUGUUUCAUCAAGCGAAACUUGCCCCGUGCACUGAGAUCUCUCUGUUGUGUUUUUACCUGAUCCAAUCCUCGGACAUUUGCAGGUAAAAUAAUUUGUUAUAAGUUUUAAAUUGUUCCAAAGCUGAUUUUGUGUCAUUCAUUAAAUUUAACCAAAGUUUAAUGAAUUGUUGUCCCCUGGAAUCCUUUUUAGUUGAUUUUGUUUUUAAGUGAGUCAGAACA